rnacentral:lncRNA from 1 species
UCCAAAGCUAUUUUCAUUCAAAACUUAUUUCCUUUUCACUUAAAACCAUGAAAAACAUUAAAACAUUUUAUGAAAACAUGUUUCUACCCUACUAGAGGCUUCCGACAUCCGAGAUUCCACCGGACGGUAGGAAUUCCGAUACCGGAGUCUAGCCGGGUAUUACAGGCCUUCUAUCUACCGUAAUAUGGGAUAAACUGCCAAGUGAUCUCCGGCUGAGGACAUCUAACAUAACAUUUGCCUCACCCGGAUGAUAUUGGAUCUUGCAAUCAUAGUCACUAUGCAGUUCUACCCAUCUUCUCCGCCUUAGGUUCAACUCCUUCUGACUCAAGAUGUACUGUAAACUUUUAUGAUCUGUAAAGAUCUCACAUUUUACCCCAUGAAGGUAAUGCCUCCACAUCUUGAGUGCAAAUGUUACAACUGCCUUUUCUAGAUCAUGUGUAGGAUAAUUCAACUCAUGCUUCUUCAGCUACCUUGAAACAUUAGCAAUUACCCUGACACUUGCAUUAAUACACAAUCUAGCCCCACACGGGACGCAUCACAAAACACUGUGAAAUCUUCAUUACUGGUAGGCAGAGCCAACACUGGUGCUGACGUCAACCUUUUCUUCGGCUCUUCAAAACUCUCUUCACACUGAGCAGACCACACAACCCUCUGGUUCUUCUUGAUCCAUCUGGUCAUAGGAGCGGCAACUCUGGAGAAGUUCUGAA